rnacentral:rRNA from 1 species
CCAGUAAACACGUAGUCAACCUGCCCCUCGAGACGGUGACAACCCCGGGAAACUGGGGCUAAUCUCCGAUAGGCGAAGAGCUCUGGAAUGAGCCUUUACCCAAACAGCAAUCAGGCUAUGCUUCUGAUUGUCGCUCGAGGAUGGGGCCGCGACCGAUCAGGUUGUUGGUGAGGUAACGGCUCACCAAGCCUAUAACCGGUGCGGGCCGUGGGAGCGGGAGCCCGGAGAUGGGCACUGAGACAAGGGCCCAGGCCCUACGGGGCGCAGCAGUCGCGCAAACUUUGCAAUACACGAAAGUGUGACAGGGCUAUCCCGAGUGCCGUCCGCUGAGGAUGGCUUUUACCCAGUCUAGAACGCUGGGGGAAUAAGGAGAGGGCAAGUCUGGUGUCAGCCGCCGCGGUAAUACCAGCUCUCCGAGUGGUGUGGAUGUUUAUUGGGCCUAAAGCAUCCGUAGCUGGCCAAGCUAGUCCCUUGUUAAACCCACCGAACCAAUCGUUGGAUCGCGGGGGAUACUGCUCGGCUAGGGGACGAGAGAGGCAGACGGUAUUUUCGGGGUAGGGGUGAAAUCCUAUAAUCCCGGGAAGACCACCAGUGGCGAAGGCUGUCUGCUAGAACGCGCCCGACGGUGAGGGAUGAAAGCUGGGGGAGCGAACCGGAUUAGAUACCCGGGUAGUCCCAGCUGUAAACGAUGCAGGCUAGGUGUUUGGGCGGCCACGUGCCGCUCUAGUGCCGCAGGGAAGCUGUUAAGCCUGCCGCCUGGGGGAGUACGGUCGCAAGAUUGAAACUUAAAGGAAUUGGCGGGGGAG